UGCAUUCACUACUGUAAGUCGCUCUGGAUAAGAGUGUCUGCUAUAUGACGUAAA
rfam:Salmo salar isolate Sally breed double haploid chromosome ssa09, whole genome shotgun sequence.